AGGGGUGUAGCGCAGCCCGGUUAGCGCACCUGGUUUGGGACCAGGGGGUCGAAAGUUCGAAUCUUUUCACCCCUA
rnacentral:tRNA from 1 species